rnacentral:rRNA from 1 species
UACGUAGGGCGCAAGCGUUAUCCGGAAUUAUUGGGCGUAAAGAGCUCGUAGGCGGUUUGUCGCGUCUGCCGUGAAAGUCCGGGGCUCAACUCCGGAUCUGCGGUGGGUACGGGCAGACUAGAGUGAUGUAGGGGAGACUGGAAUUCCUGGUGUAGCGGUGAAAUGCGUAGAUAUCAAGAGGAACACCUGCGGCGAAGGCGGGUUGCUGGGCCGACACUGACGCUGAGGCGCGAAAGCCAGGGGAGCGAACGGG